AUUUUAUCUCUCUAUUGCAUUUUACUCCUACACUUGUCUUGGUCCUUUCAUGCUCAAUCUUAUAUGGGUGAGAAGUGAAGGUUUAGGUUCAUAUGAUCAAACUUGGAUCUUAGUUUAUUGGAUUAGUCUACUUGGGUCCGUGUUUGUGUUGCUUUGUGCUUCUUUUGUACAGAUGAUGAAUUUUAAUCCUUCUAAGCUUUCGGAUAGUGUUAUUUGCAUCAUGUUAUGGUUUUAGCUGCUGGUUUUUGUUUGGAUUUGGAUGCAGU
rnacentral:misc_RNA from 1 species